rnacentral:rRNA from 1 species
GAUGAACGCUGGCGGCGUGCCUAAUACAUGCAAGUCGAGCGAACGGACGAGAAGCUUGCUUCUCUGAUGUUAGCGGCGGACGGGUGAGUAACACGUGGAUAACCUACCUAUAAGACUGGGAUAACUUCGGGAAACCGGAGCUAAUACCGGAUAAUAUUUUGAACCGCAUGGUUCAAAAGUGAAAGACGGUCUUGCUGUCACUUAUAGAUGGAUCCGCGCUGCAUUAGCUAGUUGGUAAGGUAACGGCUUACCAAGGCAACGAUGCAUAGCCGACCUGAGAGGGUGAUCGGCCACACUGGAACUGAGACACGGUCCAGACUCCUACGGGAGGCAGCAGUAGGGAAUCUUCCGCAAUGGGCGAAAGCCUGACGGAGCAACGCCGCGUGAGUGAUGAAGGUCUUCGGAUCGUAAAACUCUGUUAUUAGGGAAGAACAUAUGUGUAAGUAACUGUGCACAUCUUGACGGUACCUAAUCAGAAAGCCACGGCUAACUACGUGCCAGCAGCCGCGGUAAUACGUAGGUGGCAAGCGUUAUCCGGAAUUAUUGGGCGUAAAGCGCGCGUAGGCGGUUUUUUAAGUCUGAUGUGAAAGCCCACGGCUCAACCGUGGAGGGUCAUUGGAAACUGGAAAACUUGAGUGCAGAAGAGGAAAGUGGAAUUCCAUGUGUAGCGGUGAAAUGCGCAGAGAUAUGGAGGAACACCAGUGGCGAAGGCGACUUUCUGGUCUGUAACUGACGCUGAUGUGCGAAAGCGUGGGGAUCAAACAGGAUUAGAUACCCUGGUAGUCCACGCCGUAAACGAUGAGUGCUAAGUGUUAGGGGGUUUCCGCCCCUUAGUGCUGCAGCUAACGCAUUAAGCACUCCGCCUGGGGAGUACGACCGCAAGGUUGAAACUCAAAGGAAUUGACGGGGACCCGCACAAGCGGUGGAGCAUGUGGUUUAAUUCGAAGCAACGCGAAGAACCUUACCAAAUCUUGACAUCCUUUGACAACUCUAGAGAUAGAGCCUUCCCCUUCGGGGGACAAAGUGACAGGUGGUGCAUGGUUGUCGUCAGCUCGUGUCGUGAGAUGUUGGGUUAAGUCCCGCAACGAGCGCAACCCUUAAGCUUAGUUGCCAUCAUUAAGUUGGGCACUCUAAGUUGACUGCCGGUGACAAACCGGAGGAAGGUGGGGAUGACGUCAAAUCAUCAUGCCCCUUAUGAUUUGGGCUACACACGUGCUACAAUGGACAAUACAAAGGGCAGCGAAACCGCGAGGUCAAGCAAAUCCCAUAAAGUUGUUCUCAGCUCGGAUUGUAGUCUGCAACUCGACUACAUGAAGCUGGAAUCGCUAGUAAUCGUAGAUCGGCAUGCUACGGUGAAUACGUUCCCGGGUCU